UACGAGGGGGGCGAGCGUUGUUCGGAAUUAUUGGGCGUAAAGAGCUCGUAGGCGGUUUGUCGCGUCUGCUGUGAAAACUCGGGGCUUAACCCCGGGCCUGCAGUGGGUACGGGCAGACUAGAGUGCGGUAGGGGAGACUGGAAUUCCUGGUGUAGCGGUGAAAUGCGCAGAUAUCAGGAGGAACACCGGUGGCGAAGGCGGGUCUCUGGGCCGUAACUGACGCUGAGGAGCGAAAGCGUGGGGAGCGAACAGG
rnacentral:rRNA from 1 species